AGUGAACGCUGGCGGCAGGCCUAACACAUGCAAGUCGAACGGCAGCACAGAGGAGCUUGCUCCUUGGGUGGCGAGUGGCGGACGGGUGAGGAAUACGUCGGAAUCUGCCUAUUUGUGGGGGAUAACGUAGGGAAACUUACGCUAAUACCGCAUACGACCUACGGGUGAAAGCGGAGGACCUUCGGGCUUCGCGCAGAUAGAUGAGCCGACGUCGGAUAGCUAGUUGGCGGGGAAAGGCCACCAAGGCGACGAUCCGUAGCUGGUCUGAGAGGAUGAUCAGCCACACUGGAACUGAGACACGGUCCAGACUCCUACGGGAGGCAGCAGUGGGGAAUAUUGGACAAUGGGCGC
rnacentral:rRNA from 1 species